rnacentral:rRNA from 1 species
GGGAGGCAGCAGUGAGGAAUAUUGGUCAAUGGGCGCGAGCCUGAACCAGCCAAGUCGCGUGAGGGAUGAAGGUUUAUGGAUCGUAAACCUCUUUUAUAAGGGAAUAAGUGCGGGACGUGUCCCGUUUUGUAUGUACCUUAUGAAUAAGGAUCGGCUAACUCCGUGCCAGCAGCCGCGGUAAUACGGAGGAUCCGAGCGUUAUCCGGAUUUAUUGGGUUUAAAGGGUGCGUAGGCGGCCUUUUAAGUCAGCGGUGAAAGUCUGUGGCUCAACCAUAGAAUUGCCGUUGAAACUGGGAGGCUUGAGUAUGUUUGAGGCAGGCGGAAUGCGUGGUGUAGCGGUGAAAUGCUUAGAUAUCACGCAGAACCCCGAUUGCGAAGGCAGCCUGCCAAGCCAUGACUGACGCUGAUGCA